GAUGAACGCUGGCUACAGGCUUAACACAUGCAAGUCGAGGGGAAACGGCAUUGAGUGCUUGCACUGAAUGGACGUCGACCGGCGCACGGGUGAGUAACGCGUAUCCAACCUUCCCGUUACUGCGGGAUAACCUGCCGAAAGGCAGACUAAUACCGCAUGUUCUUCGAUGACGGCAUCAGAUUCGAAGCAAAGACUCGUCGGUAACGGAGGGGGAUGCGUCUGAUUAGCUUGUUGGCGGGGUGACGGCCCACCAAGGCGACGAUCAGUAGGGGUUCUGAGAGGAAGGUCCCCCACAUUGGAACUGAGACACGGUCCAAACUCCUACGGGAGGCAGCAGUGAGGAAUAUUGGUCAAUGGGCGGAAGCCUGAACCAGCCAAGUAGCGUGCAGGACGACGGCCCUACGGGUUGUAAACUGCUUUUAUGCGGGGAUAAAGUGAGGGACGCGUCCCUUUUUG
rnacentral:rRNA from 1 species